GGGAACUCCCUGACCCCUUGCGCUUUCUGAGUGAGGCAGUGCCUCGCCCUGCUUCGGCUCGCACACGGUGCGCGCACCCACUGACCUGCGCCCACUGUCUGGCACUCCCUAGUGAGAUGAACCCGGUACCUCAGAUGGAAAUGCAGAAAUCACCCGUCUUCUGCGUCGCUCACGGUGGGAGCUGUAGACUGGAGCUGUUCCUAUUCGGCCAUCUUGGCUCCUCCGCAUUUGUUUUUAUGGUGGUUUUGUAUUGUUUUUAUAGAGCUGCCCUCACAUGCUUCAGCAACAUUAGAUGUUCUGGAGACUGGAAAGUCCAAGAUCAUGGUGCCUGAGGAUUCAGUGUCUGGUUUGUCAAAGAUGAGAUGGUUGUGGAUGUGUGGCAUUAUUUCUGAGGGCUCUGUUCUGUUCCACUGGUCUAUAUCUCUGAAGAAUUGAAAAUGCAAGAUGGGAAACAGAACUUAGAGGAAGAAUCCUACAAAGCAACUUCAAUAAGGGAAACAUAAAUUUGCAAAUGCUAUUUUAUUUAAGUUAUCGUAUGAUAAUAAAUGAAAACUAUUGCUA
rnacentral:lncRNA from 1 species